rnacentral:rRNA from 1 species
UUCGCCCUUAGAGUUUGAUCCUGGCUCAAGACGAACGCUGGCGGCGCGCCUAACACAUGCAAGUCGAACGAGAGAUGAGGAGCUUGCUCUUCAAAUCGAGUGGCGAACGGGUGAGUAACGCGUGAGGAACCUGCCUCAAAGAGGGGGACAACAGUUGGAAACGACUGCUAAUACCGCAUAAAGCCCACGGCUCGGCAUCGAGCAGAGGGAAAAGGAGCGAUCCGCUUUGAGAUGGCCUCGCGUCCGAUUAGCUAGUUGGUGAGGUAACGGCCCACCAAGGCAACGAUCGGUAGCCGGACUGAGAGGUUGAACGGCCACAUUGGGACUGAGACACGGCCCAGACUCCUGCGGGAGGCAGCAGUGGGGAAUAUUGCACAAUGGGGGGAACCCUGAUGCAGCGACGCCGCGUGGAGGAAGAAGGUCUUCGGAUUGUAAACUCCUGUUGUUGAGGAAGAUAAUGACGGUACUCAACAAGGAAGUGACGGCUAACUACGUGCCAGCAGCCGCGGUAAAACGUAGGUCACAAGCGUUGUCCGGAAUUACUGGGUGUAAAGGGAGCGCAGGCGGGAGAACAAGUUGGAAGUGAAAUCCAUGGGCUCAACCCAUGAACUGCUUUCAAAACUGUUUUUCUUGAGUAGUGCAGAGGUAGGCGGAAUUCCCGGUGUAGCGGUGGAAUGCGUAGAUAUCGGGAGGAACACCAGUGGCGAAGGCGGCCUACUGGGCACCAACUGACGCUGAGGCUCGAAAGUGUGGGUAGCAAACAGGAUUAGAUACCCUGGUAGUCCACACCGUAAACGAUGAUUACUAGGUGUUGGAGGAUUGACCCCUUCAGUGCCGCAGGUAACACAAUAAGUAAUCCACCUGGGGAGUACGACCGCAAGGUUGAAACUCAAAGGAAUUGACGGGGGCCCGCACAAGCAGUGGAGUAUGUGGUUUAAUUCGACGCAACGCGAAGAACCUUACCAAGUCUUGACAUCCUGCGACGCACAUAGAAAUAUGUGUUUCCUUCGGGACGCAGAGACAGGUGGUGCAUGGUUGUCGUCAGCUCGUGUCGUGAGAUGUUGGGUUAAGUCCCGCAACGAGCGCAACCCUUAUGGUCAGUUACUACGCAAGAGGACUCUGGCCAGACUGCCGUUGACAAAACGGAGGAAGGUGGGGAUGACGUCAAAUCAUCAUGCCCUUUAUGACUUGGGCUACACACGUACUACAAUGGCGUUAAACAAAGAGAAGCAAGACCGCGAGGUGGAGCAAAACUCAGAAACAACGUCCCAGUUCGGACUGCAGGCUGCAACUCGCCUGCACGAAGUCGGAAUUGCUAGUAAUCGUGGAUCAGCAUGCCACGGUGAAUACGUUCCCGGGCCUUGUACU